UACGUAGGUGUCAAGCGUUGUCCGGAUUAUUGGGCGUAAAGCGCCCGCAGGCGGCUUGCCAAGUUCGAUGUGAAAUCUCCCGGCUCAACUGGGAGGGUGCAUCGAAAACUGACAGGCUUGAGGCAGGGAGAGGGAUGUGGAAUUCCAGGUGUAGUGGUGAAAUGCGUAGAGAUCAGGAAGAACACCCGUGGCGCAAGCGGCCACCUGGCAGAGUGCUGACGCUGAGGCACGAAAGCGUGGGGAGCGAACCGG
rnacentral:rRNA from 1 species